GAUCUCAGACGACGCCUAUCGAAACACUGCGAAUCACAACAGCAAAAGCAGAAUCCGACUCAGACAGUGCCGGAACACUGCUUCAACCCAAGAAAGGCGAUCGAAUGAAGUUGGAAAGAACGGCACCGACAGGAAGACAAAACAAGUGCGACUGAAUGAAGAGGAAAGGAUUGACACCAACAAGAAGGCUUAUACUCGACCACGAAGACCUUGACUCCAACUUCGAGAAACAGAAGGUCGACUACUAGGAACCGGUCACCAAUCACACACACAACAAUAGGCCGUCUAUGAGGAACCUGUCACUGAUUGCGUCGGAAACACACGAAACAAACACAAGUUCGAAAUUAUUUUAAAACUGAUAUCAUGACAAGAAUUGGCCGAAUGCCCUUACAGUAUGUAUUUGCUUUCUAAUUUAUAGAAUUUUAAAUAGGCAUAAAAGGAAAGAAAAUCAAUUCCUAAUUCUAUGUGAGGGAAUCAAUCCCUGAUAUUAUGUGUCUCUACAAGAAAAGAUAACAAAUCAUAAAUCACGCCUCUAAUAAUCUAUACUCGCCAAAUCACUGCUAAUCCCAUUUUGUGACUAUCCAAUUCCUUACAUUGCCUAGAAUACUUCAUUUUUAUCUCUCGAAACUUUAGCUUACAGUUCUUUGUUGACUAUCUGAAAUAUUAAUUUUAUAUUGGGCAGGGGCAGCUGGUCUAUGAUUUUGUAUGAUACAAGUGUACUUAGGAGAGUUCUUUUUGGUAUUUUGUAUGUCAUUUCAUCAGUGGUUGACUGUACCUAGAACUCAUAUGAAGUGUUCAUAGUGGAUUUUCCUUUAAGCUGAAUCACAUCCUGUCGUCAUACAUUAUAUUUUCUUUUGGCCAGUUUAAAUUAAGGGGGGUCUGUUGGGAUAAUGAAGAUUUUCCCUGUACAACACCAUUUUCGGUUUUGUUUUCACAUUGGCUAAUUAAAUGUCC
rnacentral:lncRNA from 1 species